GAGCCACCGUUGCCCAGGCGACACCUUGGUUACUUCCGCUGGUAUCAAUGCUUCCGGGUUGGCGGUGCUGUGGCGUUUCCGGCUGUGGGAGCCUCGGCUUUCCAGUCAUCUGAGGAGCCCGAACAGCCGAGUCCCUUCCCUGUCUUUCACUCUUCUGGCAACGGUGGUUUUACUUCUUCGAUUGAGCCCUGCUUCCUCGACCCCCCGGGAGGCUGCCUCCUUCAGGCACCUCUCUUCUCUCCAAGGACUCGCUGUGACAGCUGAGGAACUGGCAAGAUCCUGCUACCCAGAGGGUGAAUGGGUAUCUUUCCUGGAAUAAUCCUUAUUUUUCUAAGGGUGAAGUUUGCGACGGCGGCCGUGAUUGUAAGCGGAUACCAGAAAAGUGCCACUGUAAGCCAUGAGAUGUCUGGUCUGAAUUGGAAACCCUUUGUAUAUGGCGGCCUUGCCUCUAUUGUUGCUGAGUUUGGAACUUUCCCCGUAGACCUCACCAAAACACGACUUCAAGUACAAGGCCAAAGCAUUGAUGUUCGCUUUAAAGAGAUAAAAUAUAGAGGAAUGUUCCAUGCCUUGUUCCGAAUCUAUAAAGAAGAAGGUGUGUUGGCUCUAUAUUCAGGUAUUGCUCCUGCUUUGCUAAGACAGGCAUCGUAUGGCACCAUUAAAAUUGGAAUUUACCAAAGCUUGAAACGAUUAUUUGUAGAACGUUUAGAAGAUGAAACUCUUCUAAUUAAUAUGAUCUGUGGGGUAGUGUCAGGAGUGAUAUCUUCCACUAUAGCCAACCCCACUGAUGUUCUAAAGAUCCGAAUGCAAGCUCAAGGAAGCUUGUUCCAAGGGAGCAUGAUUGGAAGCUUCAUUGAUAUAUACCAACAAGAGGGUACCCGGGGUCUGUGGAGGGGUGUGGUCCCAACUGCUCAGCGUGCUGCUAUUGUUGUAGGAGUAGAGCUACCAGUCUAUGAUAUUACCAAGAAGCACCUAAUACUGUCAGGAAUGAUGGGUGACACAAUUUUGACUCAUUUUGUUUCCAGCUUUACAUGUGGCUUGGCUGGGGCUCUGGCGUCUAAUCCAGUUGAUGUGGUACGAACUCGCAUGAUGAACCAGAGGGCAAUUGUAGGACAUGUGGACCUCUACAAGGGUACUUUGGAUGGCAUUUUGAAGAUCACUCUGGCUUUCUGAAGAUGAGUUCUACGACAGUAAUUCUCAAACUUGGAUGCAUAUUGGAAUCAGUUGAUGUGGAAGCAUGAGGGCUUUUUUGCACUCUAUAGAGGAUUUUGGCCAAACUGGCUUCGACUUGGACCGUGGAACAUCAUUUUUUUUAUUACAUAUGAGCAGCUCAAGAGGCUCCAGAUCUAAGAACUGGAUAUAUGAGAGCCCAGUUCCAUCAGCCUUUCUACUCUUUCUCUUUAUUCUUCUUUAAAAGUUCUAAUGUAUUUUGACAAAGUUGUGUUUACCAAAGCAGUGGUCUCCCAAGUCCUCCUGAUAGAAGAACAGUAAGGUGACUCAGUGUUGCUCAUGCAUUUGUGUUAUCAUGUUAACUUUUCCCUGAGAGGAAGUGUUAACAUUGAAACUCUAGUGCCAGAUUGGUAUCUUCCAUGAAGAUGGAUACUGAUGGGUAACAUUCAGAAUGGCCUUCUUUCUAAAUGUGGGCGAAAUGUAGUUGGUUGGCCCUAGAUCUGGGUAAAAGGAAAAGACCUAGGCUUCUGGACAAUUAUUGGAAUGUGUGUUAUAGACCUUGGUUCUCAUUAAAGUAUUUAUUGUCAGAA